AUAACGUUUGGAAACGAACGCUAAUACCGCAUAAUGUCAGAGGAUGGCAUCAUUCUUUGACCAAAGAUUUAUCGCUGAAAGAUGGGCUCGCGGCCGAUUAGGUAGUUGGUGAGAUAAUAGCCCACCAAGCCGACGAUCGGUAGCCGGACUGAGAGGUUGAACGGCCACAUUGGGACUGAGACACGGCCCAGACUCCUACGGGAGGCAGCAGUGGGGGAUAUUGCACAAUGGGGGGAACCCUGAUGCAGCGACGCCGCGUGAGGGAAGACGGCCUUCGGGUUGUAAACCUCUGUCUUCGGGGACGAAUAAUGACGGUACCCGAGGAGGAAGCCACGGCUAACUACGUGCCAGCAGCCGCGGUAAUACGUAGGUGGCAAGCGUUGUCCGGGAUUACUGGGUGUAAAGGGAGCGUAGGCGGGGAGGCAAGUUGAAUGUCUAAACUAUCGGCUCAACUGAUAGUCGCGUUCAAAACUGCCACUCUUGAGUGCAGUAGAGGUAGGCGGAAUUCCUAGUGUAGCGGUGAAAUGCGUAGAUAUUAGGAGGAACACCAGUGGCGAAGGCGGCCUACUGGGCUGUAACUGACGCUGAGGCUCGAAGGUGUGGGUAGCAAACAGGAUUAGAUACCCUGGUAGUCCACACCGU
rnacentral:rRNA from 1 species